GGAGGAAUGGCUGAGAGGCUGAAGGCAUUGGUUUGCUAAAUCAACAUACAAGUUUUUUUGUAUCAUGGGUUCGAAUCCCAUUUCCUCCG
rnacentral:tRNA from 1 species